AACGAACGCUGGCGGCGUGCCUAACACAUGCAAGUCGAACGUGAUUAGAGAGCUUGCUCUCUAUGAAAGUGGCGCACGGGUGAGUAACGCGUAGAUAAUCUACAUGAUGAUUCGGGAUAACACUUCGAAAGGGGUGCGAAUACCGAAUAAGCCCACGGAGUCCUUGGACGCUGCGGGAAAAGGGGGGGACCUUCGGGCCUUCAGUCAUCAGAUGAGUCUGGGGACCAUUAGCUAGUUGGUAGGGUAAAGGCCUACCAAGGCGACGAUGGUUAGCUGGUCUUGGAGGAUGAUCAGCCACCCUGGAACUGAGACACGGGCCAGACUCCUACGGGAGGCAGCAGUGGGGAAUUUUGCGCAAUGGGGGAAACCCUGACGCAGCAACGCCGCGUGAGUGAUGAAGGCCCUUGGGUCGUAAAGCUCUGACAGAGGGAAAGAAAUGCAGGGGAGCUAAUAUCUCCCUUGCUUGACGGUACCCUCAAAGGAAGCACCGGCUAACUCCGUGCCAGCAGCCGCCGUAA
rnacentral:rRNA from 1 species